UGUCAAAUUGUAUAAAUUUUAUUUUAUAUGAACUGUUAAGUAGAUUUCUGCCUUUCCCUCUUUAGGUGAAUGUGUUCUUCUGGUAAUGAAGUAGGCCUACUGACUUCGCCUGAACUCAGUAAGCUUCUUGAAGCUAAAGACUUGCCAGCACUGUUGAUUAAUAUAUGCUCCAUGCAGUCAAAGAGUCUAUGUUAAGGUGUUAAUGGAGCACACUAGGGAUUAUGAGAAUACAGUAUUAACUUUCUGAUUACACACACCAAAUCUAGUGGGAAGAGUAUCUAGCGUAAAAUCCCUCCUUGUCUUUCCUCUUUUCGAUGAGGCUAAUUAACAUCUUUAAGCUAAGCAGAUCCCAGGAAACAUCAAAGCAUACGGUUAAAUUAUCACAAUUAGUCCACUGGAAGUCAUUAUCCAGUCAUGGGGAUUGGGGAAUGCAGGGGAAAGAGAUGAGUGGAGUACUGUGAGGGUGUAGUAGAAACAAUGUAGUAGGAACCAAAAAAUAGGGAUAGAGACAAAAGGGAAAACUGGAUGCUCAUAAUCUGAUAUUAAACAAAACCUCAUUUGCUAAUGUGUGAUGAUGGUUCUUCACCUCUGCUAAUGUGUGAGGGACAUGGGGAAGCUUGUACAAGAAUGAAGCAUUUACACCAGAUCUCUCCGGAGCAACACACACCCUUCAGUGUAGAUGAAUCUGUUUCCUCUAUGGGAUCACAAUCCUGGGCUGAGUUUCCCAUGCCCUCUAGUGCGGUUUCAAUGGGAGAUGGAGACUAGCUUAUUUUUUCUUGAGCAUUGAAUAAUACAAUGACUGAACAACUGGGUUUAUGUCACCAAGAAACACAGCAAAAUAAUGAGCAGACUAAUGGAUGGAGGCAGAUCUGAACGUGAGAUGAGGUUGAUUGUAAAAAAGGGGCAGGGUUUAAGCAGACUAAACUGACCUAUUUGCACUCGGCCACAUCAUGAUAUAUUGAUCAUGUAGCUAUCCGAUUGUGAAAAAUAACCAGAUGUAAAUGCCCUCUGAAACACAUUCAAGAUGGAUUGCAGUCUUCAGGAAGAGCAUCUGGUUGUUUAAAUCAUAUAUGCAAAUGUUACAUAUUUUUUAAGUGUAAAUGGAACAGUUUUUACAAAUGAGAUAACAAAGCUGAUCUGAGAAAAUGCAUUAAGCGACAAGUGUAAACAGGCCCAGUGAUUGGUGAAGGCCAGCAUACUUCACACCAAACAAGAUGCUUUAAAAAAUAGAAAUGGUGAGUUUUACAUUUAAUGACAACUUUAAAAUUAAUAUCUGAAAUUAAUUUUAAUUUCAAGCCCUUAUGUUUGACAGUAUGAACUGGAUGAAGUGAUUAAUCAUGAGCAAUCGUGCUAAUUACCUGUACGGGGUACAACCUAAUGUUCAUUUGAGUCCACCUGUGUUCAGUUGCUAGAUGGCAUCAUUAAUUCCAGUUUGAGAGUUUUGCUCAGUUGAGUUUUCAUAACUGAAAUAGAAGCACACAUUAAUCCUGCUGUCUGUGGG